AACGAACGCUGGCGGCAGGCUUAACACAUGCAAGUCGAACGUGAAGCCACCUUCGGGUGGUGGAAAGUGGCAGACGGGUGAGUAACGCGUGGGAAUCUACCUAAUGGUACGGAAUAACUCAGGGAAACUUGAGCUAAUACCGUAUGUGCCCGCAAGGGGAAAGAUUUAUCGCCAUUAGAUGAGCCCGCGUCGGAUUAGCUAGUUGGUGGGGUAAUGGCCCACCAAGGCGACGAUCCGUAGCUGGUCUGAGAGGAUGAUCAGCCACACUGGGACUGAGACACGGCCCAGACUCCUACGGGAGGCAGCAGUGGGGAAUAUUGGACAAUGGGCGAAAGCCUGAUCCAGCCAUGCCGCGUGAGUGAUGAAGGCCCUAGGGUUGUAAAGCUCUUUCGACGGGGACGAUAAUGACGGUACCCGUAGAAGAAGCCCCGGCUAACUUCGUGCCAGCCGCCGCGGUAA
rnacentral:rRNA from 1 species